rnacentral:rRNA from 1 species
GACGAACCGUACGAACGUUAUUCGGAAUUACUGGGCUUAAAGGGUGCGUAGGCGGCGCAGUAAGUUGGGUGUGAAAUCCCUCGGCUUAACCGAGGAAUUGCGCCCAAAACUACUGUGCUCGAGGGAGGUAGAAGUGAGCGGAACUUAGGGUGGAGCGGUGAAAUGCGUUGAUAUCCUAAGGAACACCGGUGGCGAAAGCGGCUCACUGGACCUCUUCUGACGCUGAGGCACGAAAGCUAGGGUAGCAAACGGG